rnacentral:snRNA from 1 species
CUUACUUUGGUGGAAUAUAUACUAAAAUUAGAAUGAUACAGGUUUUUGUGGCUCCUGUGCAAGGAUGACAUCCAAAUCUGGGAAGCAUUCCAUAUAACU